UACAGAGGUCCCGAGCGUUGUUCGGAUUCACUGGGCGUAAAGGGUGCGCAGGCGGCCGUGUGUGUGAGGCGUGAAAGCCCGGGGCUUAACCCCGGAAUUGCACCUCAAACUACACGGCUAGAGCAUUGGAGAGGGUAGCGGAAUUCACGGUGUAGCAGUGAAAUGCGUAGAUAUCGUGAGGAACACCAGAGGCGAAGGCGGCUACCUGGACAAUUGCUGACGCUCAGGCACGAAAGCGUGGGGAGCAAAAGGG
rnacentral:rRNA from 1 species